rnacentral:rRNA from 1 species
GCAGUCGCCGCGGUAAAACGUAGGUGGCGAGCGUUGUCCGGAAUUAUUGGGCGUAAAGGGAGCGCAGGCGGACAUAUAAGUCCAUCUUAAAAGUGCGGGGCUCAACCCCGUGAGGGGAUGGAAACUGUAUGCCUUGAGUGCAGGAGAGAAAAGCGGAAUUCCCAGUGUAGCGGUGAAAUGCGUAGAUAUUGGGAGGAACACCAGUGGCGAAGGCGGCUUUCUGGACUGUAACUGACGCUGAGGCUCGAAAGCCAGGGGAGCGAACGGGAUUAGAUACCCCUGUAGUCCCUGUCUCUUAUACA